rnacentral:rRNA from 1 species
AUACGGAGGGUGCAAGCGUUACUCGGAAUCACAGGGCGUAAAGCGCGCGCCGGCGGGCUGAUAAGUUGGAUGUGAAAGCCUACGGCUCAACCGUAGAACUGCAUCCAAAACUGUCAGUCUAGAGUCUGGGAGGGGAAGAUGGAAUUAGUUGUGUAGGGGUAAAAUCCGUAGAGAUAACUAGGAAUACCAAAAGCGAAGGCGAUCUUCUGGAACAGUACUGACGCUGAGGCGCGAAAGCGUGGGGAGCAAACAGGAUUAGAAACCCUAGUAGUCC